AUAACGGUCCUAAGGUAGCGAAAUUCCUUGUCGGGUAAGUUCCGACCUGCACGAAAGGCGCAACGACUUGGGCGCUGUCUCGACCAUGGACCCGGUGAAAUUGCACUGGUCGUGAAGAUGCGACUUACCCGCGGAAGGACGGAAAGACCCCGUGAACCUUCACUGCAGCUUGGCAUUGGCCGCUGGUCCCGCGUGUAGAGGAUAGGCAGGAGGCAUCGAUCCGGAGGCGCCAGCCCCCGGGGAGCCGCCCUUGGAAUACUGCCCUCGCGCGACCGGCGUCCUAACCCGAGGCCGUCAACCGGCUCGGGGACCGUGCCAGGCGGGCAGUUUGACUGGGGCGGUCGCCUCCUAAAGGGUAACGGAGGCGCGCGAAGGUCCGCUCGGGACGGUCGGCAACCGUCCUUUUGAAUGCAAGAGUACAAGCGGGCUUGACUGCGAGGCCCACAAGCCGAGCAGGUGCGAAAGCAGGCUCUAGUGAUCCGGCGGCCCCGAGUGGGUGGGCCGUCGCUCAACGGAUAAAAGGUACUCCGGGGAUAACAGGCUGAUCUUGCCCAAGAGUCCACAUCGACGGCAAGGUUUGGCACCUCGAUGUCGGCUCAUCGCAUCCUGGGGCUGGAGCAGGUCCCAAGGGUACGGCUGUUCGCCGUUUAAAGCGGUACGCGAGCUGGGUUCAGAACGUCGUGAGACAGUUCGGUCACUAUCCUCCGUGGGCGCAGGAGAAUCGAUGGAGGCUGCCCCCAGUACGAGAGGACCGGGGUGGACGCACCUCCGGUGAACCGGUUGUCGACCAACGGCACGGCCGGGUAGCCGCGUGCGGCGCGGAUAACCGCUGAAGGCAUCUAAGCGGGAAGCCGUUCCAGGGAUUAGUUCUCCUUCCGGUAAGGGCCCAGGUAGACUACCUGGUCGAUAGACGGCAGGUGCAAGGACGGCGACGUCCUCAGCCGAGCCGCACUAAUCGCCCGAGCUCUUCCGGAA
rnacentral:rRNA from 1 species